GAUAUGCAGGAUUCAUAACGUAUCACUGAUAAAUAUGAAUAUGCGAAAAUACGAUGGUUUAUUUUUAAUAUGGUACAAACGAUUUCUAAAAUCUAUUUUCUCCUUAUAUAUUAUGACGGUUUCAUCUCUAAUGUAGGUGCUUGAGACUACCAGCACGGAGCAAGAAACUGGAGAACAUGUGGUACACGAAAUUCAUAGAGUCCCAGAACCUCCUCGAGAUUCCAUUGAUAAAGAAACAAAUGAAGACAACUCCGCGGAAUAUCAGGUUUACCUGGACACAAACAUAAAGCCUACAAGUGCUGUCCUUUUUCUUCGUCUCCCAGUACAUAACCUAUGUUUUUUUUCCCUUCCAAUGUUAGGCAUGUACUGAGGUAGCUGAUGUGAGUACAAGUGCAGAGGAAAAGAACUUAGAGGAACAUGCCAUUCGGGAACUCUCUUCUCCACUGGUAGUAGAAGAAGCAACUAAAGAAAUCCCGGAAGUUGAAAGGCAGGACAAAAACAUUGAUACUGCACCUGAAGAAAAGGGUCAAGCAACCAUCUCAGCAGAUGAAAUGGCCUCGGAAGUUGAGGAUAUUGAUGUACAAUUAAAGGAGAAUCUUGAGUCAGAAGAGAACUUGGAGGAACAAUUUCUGAUAGCAGCAGAUGAAGGUGAAAUAAUCUCCAAAGAUGCCAAAGCAGAAAACCAGGAGCAGAUAAAAAAUGUUGAUAUUGCUCAUGAAGAUGUUGAUGCACAAGCGGAGAAAACUGUCAACUCAGAAGAGAACAUAGAUAAGCAGAUUCCUUCAAUAGCACAUGAAGGUGAAACAAGCUUGAAAGAAACCGCUGUCUUGAUUCUAAAAGAAGAGGUUAGCAUGAUAUAAGAAUUUUCGAUUUUUUUCAUUAUAGUCUAUUGCAUUACAUAUUCCAAUCAAGAAUUGAUAUCCCCUGCAGAAAAAGGAAGAAGAUACAGAAUGUAACGAGCCUUCUGAGGUAGCGAGUAUGACACAUGAAACACGAACUGAAACCACAGAGGACAUAACAGAGCCAAAUAAGGACCUCAAUGCUCCAAUUUCAGGAGAAAGCAACAAAACAUUUGUUGAAAAUAUUUCCACUCUCGCUGAGGUAUCUGAGAUGGAGACUGAGAAAAAUGGCCUGGCUGUCAGCAAUUCUGACUCUGCGUCGGGUGAAGUGAGUCAUGUAACAGGUUUGAAGGAAGCUGAAACAGAAAAGGAGGAGCAGAAAGAAAACAUGGAUACUGCUCCGGAAGAGAAGGGUCAAGCAACCAUCGUAAAAGAUGAAAUGGCCUCGGAAGUUGAAGAUAUUGGUGUACAAGCAGAGGAAAAUUGUGAAUCAAAAGAGAAGUUGGAGGAGCAUAUUCCAACAGCAGCAGACAAGGUUGAAACAUUCUCAAAGGAAGCCGAGGCAGAAAAUGAGGAGCAGAUAAACAAUGGUGAUGUUGCUGCUGAAGAGAAGGUUUCGGAAACCAUCUUAACAAAUGAAAGAACCUUCGACGUGGAAGAUACCAAUGUGCAAGCAGAGAAAAAUGUCGAAUCAAAUGAGAACUUGGAGGAGACUAUUCCAACAGCAGCGGAUGAAGGCGAAACAUCCCUGCAGGAAGCUGAAGCAGAAGGCAAGGAUGAGAUUAAAAGUACUGAUAUUGCUCAUGCAGAUACUGAUGGACAUGGAGAUGAAAUUGAUAAUUCUGAAGAGAACUUGGAUAAGCAGAUCCCAGCAGGCGAACGUGAAAUAAGCUUGAAAGCAGCCGAAGCAGAAUAUAAGGAGCAGGUCAAACAUGCUGAUAUUGUUCCUGAAGAGGAGGGUCUAGCAACCGUCUUAACAGACGAAACACCCUUAGAUGUCGAGGAUAUUGAGGUAAAAACUGACUGUGUCGAAUCAAAAGAGAAUGUGGAGGAGCAGAUUCCAACAACAGUAGAUGAAGGCGGAAAAAGUACUUAUAUUUCUCCUGAAGAUAUUGAAGUACAAGCAGAUGAAAAUUUUAUUACACUAGAGAAUUUGGAGAAGCCAAUUCUAACAACAUCAGGUGAACGAGAAACAGGCUUGGGAGAAGCUGAAGCAGAAAUUAAGGAGCAGGUCAAAAGUAUUGAUAUUGUUCCUGAAGAGAUGGCAACCAUCUCAACAGCUGAGACACCCUCGGAUGUUGAAGUUAUCGGUGUACAAGCAGAGGAAAGCCUCAAAUCAAAAGAGAGCGUGGAGGAGCAGAUUCCAACAGCAGCGGAUGAAGAUGAAAGAUUCUUGAAGGAAUCCAAAGCAGAAAACAAGGAGCUGAUCGACGAGGAAAAUUUGAAUUUACAAGAACAAGUGACUGAAAUUACAAACACAAUAGAAGAUGACACUGAAAGGGAGGAGGUAAGAUCGGAAUAAAUUUUUUUAUGAGUUUUUCUCUCUGGCUUACCAUCUGACAAGUAGUCUCCCUACACGGUUUUGUUAUUGAUUAAGAUGCAAGAUUCAUAACGUAUCACAGAUGCAUAUGAACAUGCGAAGAAACUAUGUUUUAUUUUAAAAUGGUAAGAACGAUUUCUAAAAUCUAUUUUCUCCUUAUAUAUUAUGAUGGUUUCAUCUCUAAUGUAGGUGCUUGAGACUACCAGUACGGAGCAAGAAACUGGAGAACAUGUGGUACACGAAAUUCAUACUGUCCCAGAACCCCCUCGAGACUCCAUUGAUAAAGAAACAAAUGAAGACAACUCCGCGGAAUAUCAGGUUUACCUGGACACAAACAUAAGGCCUACAAAAGUGUGAUCCUUUUUCUUCGUCUCCCAGUACAUAACCUUUGUUUUUUUUUUCCCUUCCAAUGUUAGGCAUGUACUGAGGCAGCUGAUUUGAGUACAAGUGCAGAGGAAAAGAACUUAGAGGAACAUGCCAUUCGGGAACUCUCUUCUCCACUGGUAGUAGAAGAAGCAACUAAAGAAAUCCCGAAAGAAGAAGAAACCUACCCCACGCUUCUAGAAGAAGAGGUAAUCUAGCAUUCAAUAUCAAAUUUUUAGAUUAAAAUACACUAUAGUAUUAUCUUGCAAAUUGAAAUUUACAACUCAUAUCGGCAACAGGAAAAGGAAGGGCAUGCAACAUGUAACAAGCCCAAUGAGGAAUAUGAGGCAGAGAUUGAGAAAAAUAUUCAGGAGAAAGAUGGCAACACAGUUAGCAAUUCUGAAUCUCUGUCUGGAGAACUGAGUCAUGUAACAGCCUUGAAGGAAUGUGAAACAGAGAUUGAAAGGCAGGACAGGAACAUUGAUACUGCUCCUGAAGAGAAGGGUCAAGCAACCAUCUCAGCAGAUGAAACAGCCUCGGAAGUUGAGGAUAUUGAUGUACAAUUAAAGGAGAACCUUGAGUCUAAAGAGAACUUGGAGGAACAAUUUCCAACAGCAGCAGAUGAAGGUGAAAUAAUCUUGAAAGAAGCUGAAGCAAAAAACCAGGAGCAGAUAAAAAAUGUUGAAAUUGCUCAUGAAGAUGUUGAUGCACAAGCGGAGAAAACUGUCAACUCAGAAGAGAACAUAGAUAAGCAGAUUCUGCCAAUAGCACAUGAAGGUGAAACAAGCUUGAAAGAAACCGCUGUCUUGAUUCUAAAAGAAGAGGUUAGCAUGAUAUCAGAAUUUUCGAUUUUUACAUUAUAGUUCAUUGUAUUACAUAUUCCAAUCAAGAAUUGGUAUCCCCCUGCAGAUAAAGGAAGAAGAUACAGAAUGUAAUGAGCCUGCUGAGGUAGCGAGUAUGACACAUGAAACACGAUCUGAAACCACAGAGGACAUAACAGAGCCAAAUAAGGACGUCAAUGCUCCAAUUUCAGGAGAAAGCAACAAAACAUUUGUUGAAAAUAUUUCCACACUCGCUGAGGUAUCUGAGACGGGGACUGAGAAAAAUGUUCAGGAGAAAAAUGGCCCGGCUGUCAGCAAUUCUGACUCUGCGUCAGGUGAAGUGAGUCAUGUAACAGGUUUGAAGGAAGCUGAAACAGAAAAGGAGGAGCAGAAAGAAAACAUUGAUACUGCUCCGGAAGAGAAGGUUCAAGCUACCGUCUUAAAAGAUGAAAUGGCCUCGGAAGUUGAAGAUAUUGGUGUACAAGCAGAGGAAAAUUGUGAAUCAAAAGAGAAGUUGGAGGAGCAUAUUCCAACAGCAGCAGACAAAGUUGAAACAUUCUCAAAGGAAGCCGAGGCAGAAAAUGAGGAGCAGAUAAACAAUGGUGAUGUUGCUGCUGAAGAGAAGGUUUCGGAAACCAUCUUAACAAAUGAAAGAACCUUCGACGUGGAAGAUACCAAUGUGCAAGCAGAGAAAAAUGUCGAAUCAAAUGAGAACUUGGAGGAGACUAUUCCAACAGCAGCGGAUGAAGGCGAAACAUCCCUGCAGGAAGCUGAAGCAGAAAGCAAGGAUGAGAUUAAAAGUACUGAAGCAGAAAGCAAGGAUGAGAUUAAAAGUGCUGAUAUUGUUCCUGAGGAGAAGGGUCUAGCAACCGUCUUAACAGAUGAAACACCCUUAGAUGUCAAGGAUAUUGAGGUAAAAACUGAGGACUGUGUUGAAUCAAAAGAGAAUGUGGAGGAGCAGAUUCCAACAACAGCAGAUGAAGGCGAAAAAAGUACUUAUAUUUCUCCUGAAGAUAUUGAAGUACAAGCAGAUGAAUUUAUUACACUAGAGAAUUUGGAGAAGCCGAUUCUAACAUCAGGUGAACGAGAAACAGGCUUGGGAGAAGCUGAAGCAGAAAUUAAGGAGCAGGUCAAAAGUAUUGAUAUUGUUCCCGAAGAGAUGGCAACCAUCUCAACAGCUGAGACACCCUCGGAUGUUGAAGUUAUCGGUGUACAAGCAGAGGAAAGCCUCAAAUCAAAAGAGAACAUGGAGGAGCAGAUUCCAACAGCACCAGAUGAAGGUGGAAAAUUCUUGAAGGAAUCCAAAGCAGAAAACAAGGAGCUGAUCGACGAGGAAAAUUUGAAUUCACAAGAAUCUUCAGACAAAGGAAAACAAGAAGUGACUGAAACUACUAACACACUAGAAGAUGACACAGCAAGGGAGGAGGUAAGAUUGGAAUAAACCUUUUCAUGAAUUUUUCUUUCGGUCUUAUCAUCCGACAAGUAGUUUCCUUAACGCGGUUUAGUUAUUGACCGAAAUGCAGGAUUCAUAACGUAUCACUGAUAGAUAUGAACAUGCGAAAAAACAAAGUUUUAUUUAAAAUGGCACAAACGAUUUGUAAAAUCUAUUCUCUCCUACAUAUUACGACGGUUUCAUCUUUAAUGUAGGUGCUUGAGAAUACCUGCACGGAGCAAGAAACUGGAGAACAUGUGGUACACGAAAUUCAUACUGUCGUGGAAACCCCUCGAGAUUCCGUUGAUAAAGAAACAAAUGAAGAGAACUCCGCGGGAUAUCAGGUUUACCUGGACACAAACAUAAAGCCUACAAAAGAGUUAUCCUUUUUCUUCGUCUCCCAGUGCAUAACCUUUGUGUUUUUUUCCUUCCAAUGUUAGGCAUGUACUGAUGCAGCUGAUUUGAGUACAACUGCAGAGGAAAAGAACUUAGAGGAACAUGACAUUCAGGAACUCUCUUCUCCGCUGGUGGUAGAAGAAGAAACUAAUGAAAUCCCGAAGGAAGAAGAAACCUACGCCACGCUUCUAGAAGAAGAGGUAAUCUAGCAUAGGAUAUCAAAAUUUUAGAUUAUUACAUUAUAGUAUUAUCUUGCAAAUUCAAAUUUACAGUUCAUAUCCACAACAGAAAAAGGAAGGGCAUGCAACAUGUAACGAGCCGACUGAGAAAUAUGAGGCAGAGAUUGAGAAAAAUAUUCAGGAGAAAGAUGGCAACACAGUUAGCAAUUCUGAAUCUCUGUCUGGAGAACUGAGUCAUGUAACAGCCUCGCAUGAAUCUGAAACAGAGAUUGAAAGGCAGGACAAAAAUAUUGAUACUGCUGCUGAAGAGAAGGGUCAAGCAACCAUCUUGAAAGAAAACAUUGAUACUGCUCCGGAAGAGAAGGGUCAAGCAACCAUCUUGAAAGGUAAAGCGGCCUCGGAAGUUGAAGAUAUUGGUGUACAAGCAGAGGAAAAAUGUGAAUCAAAAGAGAAUUUGGAGGAGCAUAUUCCAACAGCAGCAGACAAGGUUGAAACAUUCUCGAAGGAAGCUGAGGCAGAAAAUGAGGAGCAGAUAAACAAUAGUGAUGUUGCUGCUGAAGAGAAGGUUCUGGAAACCAUCUUAACAAAUGAAAAAUCCUUCGACGUGGAAGAUACCAAUGUGCAAGCAGAGAAAAAUGUCGAAUCAAAUGAGGACUUGGAGGAGAAUGUUCCAACAGCAGCAGAUGAAGGUGAAACAUUCCCGAAGGAAGCUGAAGCAGAAAGCAAGGAUGAUAUUAAAAAUGCUGAUAUUCCUCAUGCAGAUAUUGAUGGACACGGAGAUGAAAUCGAUAGUUCUGAAGAGAACUUGGAUAAGCAGAUUCCAGCAGGGGAAUGUGAAACAAGCUUGAAAGCAGCCGAAGCAGAAUAUAAGGAGCAGGUCAUACAUGCUGAUAUUGCUCCUGAAGAGAAGGGUCUAGCAACCAUCUUAACAGAUGAAACACCCUUAGACUUUGAGGAUAUUGAGGUAAAAACUGAGGACUGUGCUGAAUCAAAAGAGAAUGUGGAGGAGCAGAUUCCAACAACAGCAAAUGAAGGUGAAAAAAGUACUUAUAUUUCUCAUGAACAUAUUGAAGUACAAGCAGAUGAAAAUUUUAUUACACUAGAGAAUUUGGAGAACCCGAUUCCAACAACAUCAGGUGAACGAGAAACAGGCUUGGGAGAAGCUGAAGCAGAAAUUAAGGAGCAGGUCAAAAGUAUUGAUAUUGUUCCUGAAGAGAUGGCAACCAUCUCAACAACUGAGACACCCUUGGAUGUUGAAGAUAUCGGUGUACAAGCAGAGGAAACUCUCAAAUCAAAAGAGAACGUGGAGGAGCAUAUUCCAACAGCAGCAGAUGAAGGUGAAAAAGUCUUGAAGGAAGCCGAAGCAGAAAACAAGGAGCAGAUUGAUGAGGAAACUUUGAAUUCACAAGAAUCCUCAGACAAAGACAAAGAAGAAGUGACUGAAAUUACAAACACAAAAGAUGACACUGAAAGGGAGGAGGUAAGAUUGGAAUAAUUUUUUUUAUGAGUUUUUCUUUCUGGCUUAUCAUCUGGCUAGUAGUCUCACUAUACGGUUUAGUUAUUGACCCAAAUGCAGGAUUCAUAGCGUCUCUCUGAUAGCUAUGAAUAUGCGAAAAUAAGAUGGUUUAUUUGAAUAUGGUACAAACGAUUUCUAAAAUCUAUUUUCUCCUUAUAUAUUAUGACUGUUUCAUCUCUAAUGUAGGUGCUUGAGACUACCAGUACGGAGCAAGAAACUGGAGAACAUGUGGUACACGACAUUCAUACUGUCCCAGAACCCCCUCGAGAUUCCAUUGAUAAAGAAACAAAUGAAGACAACUCCGCGGAAUAUCAGGUUUACCUGGACACAAACAUAAAGCCUACAAGUGCUAUCCUUUUUCUUCGUCUCCCAGUACAUAACCUAUGUUUUUUUUCC
rnacentral:lncRNA from 1 species